AGAGUUUCUUCCUGGCUCAGAACGAACGCUGGCGGCGUGUCUUAAGCAUGCAAGUCGAGCGGCAAGGCGGGGCAACCCGCCCUAGAGCGGCGGACUGGUGAGUAACACGUGGGUGAUCUACCCUUGGUUUGGGGAUAGCCCGUGGAAACAUGGGGUAAUACCGAAUACGUCGUCCUGGCUACGGCCUGGACGGGAAAGGCGCCAAGGCGCCGACCGAGGAUGAGCCCGCGCCCCAUUAGCUAGUUGGUGAGGUAACGGCCCACCAAGGCGAUGAUGGGUAGCCGGCCUGAGAGGGUGUACGGCCACACUGGGACUGAGAUACGGCCCAGACUCCUACGGGAGGCAGCAGCUAAGAAUAUUCCGCAAUGGACGAAAGUCUGACGGAGCGACGCCGCGUGGAUGAAGAAGGCCGAAAGGUUGUAAAAUCCUUUUGUCGGGGAAGAAUAAGCCUGGGAGGGAAUGCCCGGGUGAUGACAUGAACCGGCGAAUAAGCCCCGGCUAACUACGUGCCAGCAGCCGCGGUAACACGUAGGGGGCGAGCGUUGUUCGGAAUUACUGGGCGUAAAGGGCAUGUAGGCGGUUUUGUAAGCCUGGCGUGAAAUUCUGCAGCUUAACUGUAGGGCUGCGCUGGGAACUGCGAGACUGGAGUCACGGAGAGGGAGCCAGAAUUCCAGGUGUAGGGGUGAAAUCUGUAGAUAUCUGGAAGAAUACCAAUGGCGAAGGCAGGCUUCUGGCCGAUGACUGACGCUGAGGUGCGAAAGCGUGGGUAGCAAACAGGGAUUAGAUACCCUGGUAGUCCACGCGGUAAACGAUGCACACUAGGUGCCGGGGGCGGACGCUUCGGUGCCGGAGCCAACGUGGUAAGUGUGCCGCCUGGGGAGUAUGCUCGCAAGGGUGAAACUCAAAGGAAUUGACGGGGGCCCGCACAAGCGGUGGAGUAUGUGGUUUAAUUCGACGCAACGCGAAGAACCUUACCAAGGCUUGACAUUGAGUGAAAGGCUCAGAGAUGAGGCCCUCCCUUCGGGGACACAAAAACAGGUGGUGCAUGGCUGUCGUCAGCUCGUGUCGUGAGAUGUUGGGUUAAGUCCCGCAACGAGCGCAACCCCUGUCCUAUGUUGCCAGCGAGUAAUGUCGGGAACUCAUAGGAGACUGCCGCGGACAACGCGGAGGAAGGCGGGGAUGACGUCAAGUCAUCAUGCCCCUUAUGUCUUGGGCUACACACGUACUACAAUGGUCGGCAACAAAGGGAAGCGAAACCGCGAGGUGGAGCGGAUCCCAUAAACCCGAUCUCAGUUCGGAUCGCAGGCUGCAACCCGCCUGCGUGAAGUCGGAAUCGCUAGUAAACGCAGGUCAGCAUACUGCGGUGAAUACGUUCCCGGGCCUUGCACACACCGCCCGUCA
rnacentral:rRNA from 1 species